GAUGAACGCUGGCGGCGUGCCUAAUACAUGCAAGUCGAGCGAACAGACGAGGAGCUUGCUCCUCUGACGUUAGCGGCGGACGGGUGAGUAACACGUGGAUAACCUACCUAUAAGACUGGGAUAACUUCGGGAAACCGGAGCUAAUACCGGAUAACAUAUUGAACCGCAUGGUUCAAUAGUGAAAGACGGUUUUGCUGUCACUUAUAGAUGGAUCCGCGCCGCAUUAGCUAGUUGGUAAGGUAACGGCUUACCAAGGCAACGAUGCGUAGCCGACCUGAGAGGGGGGUCGGCCACACUGGAACUGAGACACGGUCCAGACUCCUACGGGAGGCAGCAGUAGGGAAUCUUCCGCAAUGGGCGAAAGCCUGACGGAGCAACGCCGCGUGAGUGAUGAAGGUCUUCGGAUCGUAAAACUCUGUUAUUAGGGAAGAACAAAUGUGUAAGUAACUAUGCACGUCUUGACGGUACCUAAUCAGAAAGCCACGGCUAACUACGUG
rnacentral:rRNA from 1 species